UAGGGUGCAGUAUGUUUGGGCAACAGUUUGGAUAGAAACCCUUUGGAAUGCUGGUUUCUGGAAUGAGAGAGCUGCUGAAAGGUUAUUGCCAAACUAAACUGCAAGAUUACUGAGGGACCACGCAUUCUGGAACACACGCUAGGGCAAACGUUCUCAUAUGCAAGCGGCUGACCCACCGCAGUCCGCGGAAAUACGGAGUCCUUCUUGUCUCGUAUCCCACCGGCGCCCCCUACUGAGAAGGUUUAACACCGUACUCACCAUAAAGGAGAGAUGCUGAAAAGAGGCAGAAGUAUUAAAUCCCAGAACGUGCAUGCCGUAUUCUCUUACACUUAAUUGUGUGAUCAUGGAAGCUUGUGUCGAGAUGGUGCCGCCAUCAACCUUGCCAACCCACAGAGGGCGUGUAGCACGGUUAAGGACCUAAGUAUCAGAUGUGGUGCCAUUUGGGCCACUUUGGCAUGCAGACAAGGACUACACCUGAGGGAGAGGGAGAAACGCUUUUGGAAGAAACUGGAUACGUAGAAGACUUCAUGAAACACACCCACCUUCCCACGAUGUACUGUCUACUGCCUCUUGAACUGUGACGAGAGAAAUAAACAUCUAUGCUAUUUGAAACAUAACUAUUGGAAUUGCUUUGUUAUAGAAGCUUAACCUAUACAACCCCUUCCGCUACUAUCCUACAUUCCACGUGAUAUAUCUGCCCUUUAAGCAGGAAAUUAGUCCCAUGGCAGUUCCCUUCAGCAUCUUUCAGACCUGAUGAAUGCUGUCAUGCCCAGUCUAGCUGCAGUGACUCCCACUAGCACAGGGUGAGCGACGAUCCCAGGAACCCUCGCCAGCACCUGAUGGCAGUACAACUCCAGACAGCAGUAGCAGCUC